rnacentral:tRNA from 1 species
UGGCUUAGAUGGUAAAGCAUCUACCUGUAAUGCAGGGGAUCCAGGUUCGAUCCUGG